rnacentral:rRNA from 1 species
CGGGAAUCUUGCGCAAUGGGCGAAAGCCUGACGCAGCAACGCCGCGUGCGGGAUGAAGGCCUUCGGGUUGUAAACCGCUUUCAGCAGGGACGAAAAUGACGGUACCUGCAGAAGAAGCCCCGGCCAACUACGUGCCAGCAGCCGCGGUAACACGUAGGGGGCGAGCGUUGUCCGGAUUUAUUGGGCGUAAAGAGCUCGUAGGCGGUUUCGUAAGUCGGGUGUGAAAACUCUAGGCUCAACCUGGAGACGCCACCCGAUACUGCGAUGACUAGAGUCCGGUAGGGGAGCGUGGAAUUCCUGGUGUAGCGGUGAAAUGCGCAGAUAUCAGGAGGAACACCAACGGCGAAGGCAGCGCUCUGGGCCGGAACUGACGCUGAGGAGCGAAAGCGUGGGUAGCGAAC